UCUGGUUGUAAAGCACUUUUGUCCGGAAAGAAAACCUCUGGGUUAAUACCCCGGGGGGAUGACGGUACCGGAAGAAUAAGCACCGGCUAACUACGUGCCAGCAGCCGCGGUAAUACGUAGGGUGCAAGCGUUAAUCGGAAUUACUGGGCGUAAAGCGUGCGCAGGCGGUCCGCUAAGACAGAUGUGAAAUCCCCGGGCUUAACCUGGGAAACUGCAUUUGUGACUGGCGAGCUAGAGUAUGGCAGAGGGGGGGUAGAAUUCCACGUGUAGCAGUGAAAUGCGUAGAGAUGUGGAGGAAUACCGAUGGCGAAGGCAGCCCCCUGGGCCAAUACUGACGCUCAUGCACGAAAGCGUGGGGAGCAAACAGGAUUAGAUACCCUGGUAGUCCACGCCCUAAACGAUGUCAACUAGUUGUUGGGUCUUCAUUGACUUAGUAACGUAGCUAACGCGUGAAGUUGACCGCCUGGGGAGUACGGUCGCAAGAUUAAAACUCAAAGGAAUUGACGGGGACCCGCACAAGCGGUGGAUGAUGUGGAUUAAUUCGAUGCAACGCGAAAAACCUUACCUACCCUUGACAUGGUCGGAACCCUGCUG
rnacentral:rRNA from 1 species